CCCUUAGAUGUUCUGGGCCGCACGCGCGCUACACUGAUGCAUUCAACGAGUCUAAAACCUGCUCUGAUAGGGGUGGGUAAUCUUUUGAAUGCGCAUCGUGAUUGGGAUAGAUGAUUGCAAUUUUUCAUCUUCAACGAGGAAUGCCUAGUAAACGCAAGUCAUCAGCUUGCAUUGAUUACGUCCCUGCCCUUUGUACACACCGCCCGUCGCUCCUACCGAUUGAAUGAUCCGAUGAAUAUCAUGGAUUGAGGAUGUAAGCAGGUUCGCCUGUCUUCAUCUUCGAGAAGUGAAGUAAAUCUUAUCAUUUAGAGGAAGGAGAAGUCGUAACA
rnacentral:rRNA from 1 species